GCGCCUAUAGUUUAAUUGGAUAAAACAGCAGGCUUCUACCCUGUAUCCCAUCGAAGGGCUAGUUCUAGGUUCGAGUCCUAGUAGGCGUGCCA
rnacentral:tRNA from 1 species